GUUGAAUUUCCCCUGAAAAUUAAGCUCCCUUACAUAUUAUUACAUUUAUAUAUGCAGGCCUCAUGACAUUCCCAAUCUUGGCCCAUGGUUUUGCAAAACAAACCCAAGAUGGAUUAAUUAAAGAAACAAUAAAAAUAUUCCUGCAAAAUGGUAAAAUAGGGAAAAAAACAUGUGGCAGGUUACUAUUAGCCACAUUGGAGGAUCUAGAAAAAAAAAAAAGCCAUCAAGAAGUUGUAAGUAACACGAUAUUUACAUUGGUCAAUGGUUCUGCGUUUGGACAAGUCAGCCACUGCCUAACUUUGUUCCAUAUGUCCCUCUCAAAACAAGAAAGUGUUGCUUCUGUUCUCAUUGGAGGAGGAAGAAGGCUGCCUAGGUGGAGGAGGAGGCGGCCUCGCCACCACAUCGGAGGAAAGACCCUCCAUCACCAACCCAUCUGAGAUAUCCAUGGUUGCAGACCUAGGAUUACCAAGCCUUUGAAAAAACAAAUCACCAUGAGCAGGAGAACUGCUAGUAGUGCUAUUUCCCAAUGAAAACAUGUACGAUGGUUGGCUUUGCUGCUGAUAUUGGAGAUGGUAACCAGCUGCACCUGGGACCAUAACUGCACUAGGGUUAACAUGGGCUUGACGUGGGUUCAACGAAAAACCAAAACUUGGUGCAUUAAGCUGUGAUCCUGAAGAAAAAGGAGCACUAGGGCCACCAGUAAACUGCUGGACCAUGGCCCGAAAAUUCGUAGUAUCUGUGUUCAGUAAAGUUGUAGGAGUUCUCCUUGAAGCUCUAGACCGUCUACGAACAGGCUUGGAGACGCGACCUUCAGGGCUUAAACCGCCACCAGAAGUUGAUGUGGUAGAAUUGCCAGAACCACCCAUUAAUGAGGUAGGGAUAUUGGCAGCCGCUGAGGAGGUGACAGAGGUGGCGACGGUGGCAUCAGAGACACCACCAUCGCAGCCAAACAUGGUUGCUGAAAGAUUUUGGUGAUGGUAGAAUUGGCCCCAGUCACUAGGUGCAGA
rnacentral:misc_RNA from 1 species